rnacentral:rRNA from 1 species
UCGAACGGGCGUAGCAAUACGUCAGUGGCGGACGGGUGAGUAACACGUGGGAAUAUGCCUUUCGGUUCGGAACAACUCGGGGAAACCCGUGCUAAUUCCGGAUACGCCCUUACGGGGAAAGAUUUAUCGCCGAAAGAUUAGCCCGCGUUGGAUUAGCUAGUUGGUGAGGUAAAGGCUCACCAAGGCAACGAUCCAUAGCUGGUUUGAGAGAACGGCCAGCCACACUGGGACUGAGACACGGCCCAG